GCGGGUUUAGCUCAGUUGGGAGAGCGUCAGACUGAAGUAACACUUCAAUCGGCAAUUGAGGAGUAACAUCCCCAAUCUGCAAUCUGAAGGUCAUGUGUUCGAUCCACAUAAACCGCA